rnacentral:rRNA from 1 species
AACGAACGCUGGCGGCAUGCCUAACACAUGCAAGUCGAACGGGAACAUCGGGACUAGUGGCGUACGGGCGCGUAACGCGUGGGAACCUGCCCAAGCGUGCGGAAAAACGUCUCGAAAGGGAUGCUAAUACCGCAUAAUGUCGUAAGCACAAAGAUUUAUCGCCUGAGGGUGAGCCAGCGUAAUAUCAGCUAGUUGGUGGGGUAGAAGCCUACCAAGGCGACGAUCUUUAGCUGGGCUGAGAGGAUGAUCAGCCACACUGGAGCUGAGACACCGCGCAGCCUCCUGCAGGAAGCAGCAGUGAAGAAUAUUGGACGAUGGGCGAACGCCUGAACCAACAAUGCCGCGUGAGUGAUGAAGGCCGUAGGGUUGUAAAGCUCUUUUACCAGGGAUGAUAAUGACAGUACCUGGAAAAUAAGCUCCGGCUAACUUCGUGCCAGCAGCCGCGGUAACAC